rnacentral:rRNA from 1 species
AGUGUCCUAGCGGCGAACGGGUGAGUAACACGUGGGCAACCUGCCCCUAGCACUGGGAUAACUCCGGGAAACCGGGGCUAAUACCGGAUACGACUUCAGAGGGCAUCCUCCGAAGUGGAAAAGGUUUACUGGCUAGGGAUGGGCCCGCGGCCUAUCAGCUUGUUGGUGGGGUAACGGCCCACCAAGGCGACGACGGGUAGCCGGCCUGAGAGGGCGACCGGCCACACUGGGACUGAGACACGGCCCAG